GUGUUCCUCUCAAUCUUAGGUCCCUUUAAACUGAGCAGAAUGUCAUCCUCCUUCCAAGGGUCAGGAUCUGUUGUGAUGACUUCUGCAUCCUUGAGAAUAUUUCUGCAGGUGAUACUUUGGUGAAUCUGUUGCAAUUCUCUGAACUUGUUUUGUUGCCAAGCAGCCUUGACCAUACUUAUGGAUGCAUCUAAAGUGAUUCCUGUCACAAAAAAAAAGUGGGAUUAAGUUGUUCUGUCAUUUAUUUUCAUCAUUUCAUCAAAACAAUGCUCCAUAAUUGUUUGGAUGAGACGGGAAAAGGACUUGCACCUUGGGUAUAGACAUUCAGGAUCAUUCUUUGCUCAUAUUUUCUCCAUGAAUAACCAUCAUCUGUUAUGAAAGAAUAAAGAUGAGUCUAUCGUCCAUGACAGGUAGGGGUGUAAACAAACAAGCUACUUGUGAGCUGCACCUGCACGAGGCUCGGCUUGAUAAAAGCUCGACUCAGUUCGGCUUGUUUCAUAAAUGAGCUAAGCUUGAACUUUAUUUUUGGCUCAUUUAAUAAGUGAGCCAAGCUCAAAUCAUUUAUAUUCGGUUCAUUAAGGCUCGCAAGCCACCUCAUUUACUGGCACACGAAUAGGUUCAUAAGUGGACUUGUUUAUAAAAAAUUUAUGUUAGUUAUUGUAUUUCAUUAUAGUGUAAAUAUAUCUAUUUUAUUUAUGAUGUUCCAAAA
rnacentral:misc_RNA from 1 species